rnacentral:rRNA from 1 species
UAGGGAAUCUUCGGCAAUGGACGAAAGUCUGAUGGAGCAACACCGCGUGAGUGAAGAAGGGUUUCGGCUCGUAAAGCUCUGUUGUUAAAGAAGAACACGUAUGAGAGUAACUGUUCAUACGUUGACGGUAUUUAACCAGAAAGUCACGGCUAACUACGUGCAG